AUUGAACGCUGGCGGCAGGCCUAACACAUGCAAGUCGAGCGGAAGAAGGGAGCUUGCUCCUGGAUUCAGCGGCGGACGGGUGAGUAAUGCCUAGGAAUCUGCCUGGUAGCGGGGGAUAACGUCCGGAAACGGGCGCUAAUACCGCAUACGUCCUGAGGGAGAAAGUGGGGGAUCUUCGGACCUCACGCUAUCAGAUGAGCCUAGGUCGGAUUAGCUAGUUGGUGGGGUAAAGGCCUACCAAGGCGACGAUCCGUAACUGGUCUGAGAGGAUGAUCAGUCACACUGGAACUGAGACACGGUCCAGACUCCUACGGGAGGCAGCAGUGGGGAAUAUUGGACAAUGGGCGAAAGCCUGAUCCAGCCAUGCCGCGUGUGUGAAGAAGGUCUUCGGAUUGUAAAGCACUUUUAGUGGGGAGGAAGGGCAGUAAGUUAAUACCUUGCUGUUUUGACGUUACCAACAGAAUAAGCACCGGCUAACUUCGUG
rnacentral:rRNA from 1 species